UGAAACUUAAUGUUAACAAUCAAUUGGAACUUUUUAUUAAAGUGACAGUGACCUUUUGCAUAAUGGGCCAGCAAGUUAUUUUUAUAGCAAGCUUAAUUUUUUAAAGUAGGCGCAGAUAAAUCAAGUUUUAAAAAGCAAUAUAGUUAUAAAAAUAAGACCCGAAACCGAGUGAUCUAACCAUGAACAGAUUGAAAAAUAGGUAAAACUAUUUGGAGGAUCGAACUCACAUGUGUGGCAAAACAUGGAGAUGAUUUGUGGUUAGGAGUGAAAGGCUAAUCAAACUCGGAGAUAGCUGGUUUUCCGCGAAAUCUAUUGAAGUAGAGCAUUUAAAAUCUUUUUUUGGGGUAGAGCACUCAUUGAGCUAGGGGGCGUAAAAACUUACUGAACUCUUAGAAACUCCGAAUACAAAAAAAAGUUAUUUAAAUAGACAGACAUUAGGCGCUAAGGUCUAUUGUCAAGAGGGAAACAGCCCAGAUUGAUCGCUAAGGUCUCUAAAUAAUAUUCUAAGUGAAAAAGGAAGUGAAAAAAUAAUUACAACCAGUAGGUAGGCUUGGAAGCAGCCAUCCUUUAAAGAAAGCGUAAUAGCUCAUUGGUCUAGUUUUUUUGCGCCUAAAAUGUAUCGAGACUUAAGAAAUUUACCGAAGCGGCAAGUUUUAUUUAUAAUAAAACGGUAGCGGAACAUUCUGUAUGUUGAUAAAGAUAUGUUGUAAAAUAUAUUGAAGAUAUCAGAAAAGAAAAUGCUGGCAUUAGUAACAAAAAAUAAUGAAUAAGAAUCAUUAUCACCGUAAAUCCAAGGGUUUCUAUGUUAAAAUGUAUUUCAUAGAGUGAAACGGCCCCUAAGAAAGAUUUGACGAAAGCAAAUUUUGAUGGGAUAAUUUUUAAAUUAAAUUUUUUAAAAAAAGUGACAAAAAGUUUUACUUUUUCAGGAAAUAGCUUUUUUUAAAAAAAACCGUACCCUAAACCGACACAGGUGGAUAGGUCGAGUAGACUAAGGUGGAUGAGAGAAUUAUAUUGAAGGAACUCGGCAAAAUGACUCUGUAACUUCGGGAUAAAGAGUACCUAAAUAUUAUAUUUAGUGUCACAAAAUAGGGGUUGCGACUGUUUA
rnacentral:ncRNA from 1 species